GAACAUCCUGAUAAAAUGGUUAUACUUAUGCUAAAAGUUGCUAAAUUUUAUUAUAUGGAUACUGCAUGGCAAAGCAAAAUUUUCCCUCGAGAGUACAUAGCUUUCUGUGUCAGAAUCCCCCAUUCGUUAGGUCUGUACCACUGUUUCUGUUCCUGAAUACAUGAAUAGAAUUGGGAGCUUCAGCCUAAAUUAGUUAUAGCAGUUCUCUUUAUCAGAAGUUGAUUAUUAUGUAAUGUUUGUGACAAUUCGAGAGUUUGUGCAGUGUGGUAGGGCUGUAACGUUCCAACUUUGCUGCUCUUGUCUGCUUUUCAUUAUUCUCGGCUAAUUCGUAUAAAUGAACUCUUAGCUGUUAUUGUAAGUCAAGAUCUUUCCAUAGUAAAUGGAUAUAAUGCUCGUGUUCUGGGAAUUGGGAUCAUAUGUUUAUUUACUUGUGCAUAGAAGGGAUUCAUCGCAGACUCAUAGCACUUGUGAUAGGAGUGUAAUAAUGGAAGUGUCAUGUUCAGCUCUAGUGCAAGAUUUGUUUCAGACUACAUAUAUAUUGCUGUAACACAUGGAAUAUCUUAGUCUUUCACAAUGAAAAGGAACACUUUACCUAAACGAAAUGAUCAUGUAUGUUCCAAACACAUGGCUCCUGAAUAUUCAAAUAUAGACACGAGUCUAUUUAUAUUUCUGCAGAAACGAAAUUGAACUACAUAAUAGACCAUAUACUAACUCCAUAUGCAUGCUUUAGCAAUUAGCACUAUUGAUUGCUAAUGAUCUAUAUUCUAGUGCCAUUAAGAAUUUCGUGCCUCCCCAAAAGUAGAGCCUGAUAAAGCGUUGCUAUCGUUCACAUGUUAUGUAUAUGAUUGUUUCUGAUUACAUGCUGGGGCUAUCAAUAGACUGACAUCACAUGCGUAUACCCUAGAAAGCAUUGCUGUGUAAAAAUAGGAUGAACAUGUUCAAACGUAGGGUUACUUCUUGUGUCUUCUUUAUUCAAGUACACUUUCUAAGUUGCUAAGGCCUUGUUUAGGCCUUGUUUAGUUUCCAAAAUUUUUCAAGAUUCCCCGUCACAUCGAAUCUUGCGGCACAUACAUGAAGCAUUAAAUAUAGACGAAAAUAAAAAUUAAUUACGUAGUUUAUAUGUAAAUCGCGAGACGAAUCUUUUGAUCCUAGUUAGUCUAUGAUUGGAUAAUAUUUGCCACAAACAAACGAAAACUCUACAGUAGCGAAAUCCAAAAUUUUUCUCAAACUAAACAAGGCCUUAGUUCCGAAAAAUUUUGGAAAAUGGACACUGUAGCAUUUUCGUUUGUAUUUGACAAAUAUUGUCCAAUCUUGAACCAAGUAGGCUCAAAAGAUUCGUCUCGUCAAUUUCGACCAAACUGUGCAAUUAGUUUUUAUUUUCGUCUAUAUUUAAUACUCCAUGCAUGCGUCUAAAGAUUCGAUGUGACGGAGAAUGUGAAAAAUUUUGCAAAAUUUUCAGGGAAGUAAACAAGGCCUAAGAAGAACCCUUCCCUGCUAUGUGACCAAUAUUGACAUAAAAGUUGGAGGAAUACUUGUUUUUGUCAAGAAUCUUUCUACCCGCCAGCCUAUAUAUGCAGAGUCACCCACAGAUGUCCUUUUGAUCAUAUUGAGAUAGAGCUAUAAUAUGUACUGUGUUCUGAUAAAAAGAAAGACAAU
rnacentral:lncRNA from 1 species